rnacentral:rRNA from 1 species
CCGUGUCCAUGGGGGCCCCUUCCUUCACAUCACACUAUCCUAUUUUUUACUAGUUUUUUAUACAAGCGCCGCCCGACUAGUUGCAAUGAACUCUAUGAGGCCUGAAGGGGCGGGGUAACCGGCACCCUCUUGCAGGGAACAUGAACAAGUUUACCCUUACCCUCACCCCCUGUUUAGUAAAGUGUCUCUCCAUAAGAGGUCCCGGGUUUUUGUUGUGUAAGUAUGCUCCCAGGCAUUUAUAUCGCGGGUGAAGAUUAUCGCCACAAGGGAUUGACCCCGCCAUAUUUCUGCGGGGGCACAGUAGGAUUCUCCACAAUGGACAAAUUUGAUGACCACGCCGCGUGGUGAGAAGGUUCGGCUCGUAAACACUGUUGUAAGAGAGAUGACAUUGAGAGUACUGUUCAAUGUGUGACGGUAUCUACCCAGAAAGGAACGGCUAAAUACGUGCCAGCAGCCGCGGUAAUACGUAUGUUCCAAGCGUUAUCCGGAUUUAUUGGGCGUAAAGCGAGCGCAGACGGUUAUUUAAGUCCGAAGUGAAAGCCCACAGCUUAACUGUGGAAGUGCUUUGGAAACUGGAUAACUUGAGUGCAGUAGAGGAGAGUGGAACUCCAUGUGUAGCGGUGAAAUGCGUAGAUAUAUGGAAGAACACCAGUGGCGAAGGCGGCUCUCUGGACUGUAACUGACGUUGAGGCUCGAAAGUGUGGGUAGCAAACAGGAUUAGAUACCCUGGUAGUCCACACCGUAAACGAUGAGUGCUAGAUGUUUGAGGGUUUCCGCCCUUAAGUGUCGCAGCUAACGCAUUAAGCACUCCGCCUGGGGAGUACGACCGCAAGGUUGAAACUCAAAGGAAUUGACGGGGACCCGCACAAGCGGUGGAGCAUGUGGUUUAAUUCGAAGCAACGCGAAGAACCUUACCAGGUCUUGACAUCCUUUGACCACUUCAGAGAUGAAGCUUUCCCUUCGGGGACAAAGUGACAGGUGGUGCAUGGUUGUCGUCAGCUCGUGUCGUGAGAUGUUGGGUUAAGUCCCGCAACGAGCGCAACCCUUAUUACUAGUUGCCAGCAUUCAGUUGGGCACUCUAGUGAGACUGCCGGUGACAAACCGGAGGAAGGUGGGGAUGACGUCAAAUCAUCAUGCCCCUUAUGACCUGGGCUACACACGUGCUACAAUGGCAAGUACAACGAGCAGCUAACCCGCGAGGGUACGCGAAUCUCUUAAAACUUGUCUCAGUUCGGAUUGUAGGCUGCAACUCGCCUACAUGAAGUCGGAAUCGCUAGUAAUCGCGGAUCAGCACGCCGCGGUGAAUACGUUCCCGGGUCUUGUACACACCGCCCGUCACACCAUGAGAGUUUGUAACACCCAAAGCCGGUGAGGUAACCUUUUAGGAGCCAACCGUGUAAGGGAGACGGGAGAUGGGAGUCACGCUGCGGUACAGGACAUGG